CAGCUACAAACAGGUUGAUUACAUCAAAUUAAAGGACCAUGCUUGCGUUCAGAUCAACGUUGGGCAUUUGGAUGAGAAUGGCGUGUAAAAUGGCCAUUUCUCCACCUUUGCUCUGUGUGGCUUCGCUUGUGCUCAGGGAGAUUCUGACAGUGCGCUGGAUCGUCUCUGGCAGAAAAAGAAAGUCGAAGCUCGACAACAGUAGAGCAAGGGAGAGAGAAUAUAGUUGAUUUCUGUUUUUGAAGUUCUGCUUGAGGGUAGAAAAAUGUGGUUGGAUUUUGACUCCUUUCAGUUAUUAUGGAAUAUUGCAACUUUUUUGAACUGCCAUGAAAUAAAAAAGAAAAAAGAAAAAAAAAAGAGUUUCUUUUUAAAAGGGAAGGUAAGGGAGCUGCUAUGCGUCAGUCCUAAGAACCCUCUUUAUAGCAGGGUCUGCUUUAACUCUCUCUUUACAAAAGAAAUGACAAUGAUGGCUUACUUCAGAAUUUCCAAAACUGCAUUUUGAUUUCGUGGCAAACAGUUGGUGCUGUUUGAGAAUGAAUAAAACAACUUGUAGGUGAAUUAAAUGGUCAAAAAAAUGUUUUACUGUAGAUGAGUAUGUCAUCAAAGAAAAUUCACUCUUAAAUCUUAAAUCUCAUGCACUGAGAUCUCUGAAAAUUCAUAAACUCUCUCUCUCUCUCUCUCUCUCUCUCUCUCUCUCUCAUCUUCAAAGAGAAAGCGGAACCCUAACUCCACAAACCGAGCUCAUGCUAUCACGUAUUCGAACUUCGGAGUCUUCACCAAGCCAAGGAAGAUCACUCUAGCAACGAUCGACUCAGUACUUUCUUUUAGGGAAAUCCGUUCUAGGAGUGUGGGGAACCCCCAAAGCAUGGACCUAAUGAUCCCUAAGAAUCAUCAUGGGUGGCGGUGCCAUUCGACCGGAAGGCUAUUGGCUUUCUGUAAGAUAGUCAAGAAAAAUGGGUGGAUGAUUUUUGAGUGUCCAAAGUAGUAGCAGAUUGGUUGGACUGCAAUAAAGAGAUUUCAACUUUGUAAUGAAAAAUCUUGGUUCAACCUGACAUCCCUUUUUAUAAACAAUUGUUAUGAUAUGAUGUUAGCUCAUAUUAAGUUA